ACCUGCCCUUCGGCCGCUCUCUCCUCCUUUCCUUGCACUCCUUGGACUUUCUCAGAGGCUCCAGGGGGCGCGGUGGGAAGGUACAGGUGGGCGUCGGGCGCCCCCUGGUGGCCCGCUUGCCCGGCCGGGCCUGGGGCCUGGGAGAGAACCAGGCACUCGCCCUCCCACGCCCUACCCGCCCAGGGCUGGGGUGCAAGUCCUGGGUUAGCGGAAGCAGCGCGCCUCCCAGCGGCACAGCCACGUCCUCAAAACCCACUCGCAGGAUUCUGGAACGUGGAAAGUGGCCUCCUGAAAAAGGCCUCUUGAGGCUGAAGCUAAGCAGGCUGAGAAGGGGCAAUGUUGCUGCAAGCAGAGAAGUCAGCCACCACGUGGAACACAGUCUCAUGGAAACGCGUGUCCAAAGCCAGACUCCCACCUUCUCGAUAGACCUCUCCUGGGACCUGCCCUGGCUGCUGUUCAUAUGAUGGAUUACCUUAACUGAUUUUCAAAUGUUGAACCAGCCUUACAUACUUGGAAUAAAUCCUUCUUAGUCAUGGUGUAUAAUUUAUUUUGGUACAUUGUUGGAUUCUGUUGGCGAGCAUUUUGAGUAUUUUUGCAUCUGUAUUCAUGAGACAUAUUGGUCUGCAGUUUUCCUUUCUUGAAAUGUCUUUCACUGGUUUUAGUAUUAGGGUGAUGCUGACUUCCUAGAACAAGUUUGGAAGUAUUCCCCCUGCUUCUAUUUUCUGGAGGAGAAUUGUAGAGGAUUGGUAUCGUUUCUUCCUUAAAUGUCUGGUAGAAUUCACCAGUGAAACCAUCUAGGCCUGGUGCUUUCUACUUUGGA